rnacentral:rRNA from 1 species
AACAAACGCUGGCGGCGUGCCUAAUACAUGCAAGUCGAACGGGGAAAGCUUUCGGGUGAGUACUAGUGGCGCACGGGUGAGGAACGCGUGGAUAAUCUGCCUUAGAGUGGGGGAUAACUAGUCGAAAGAUUAGCUAAUACCGCAUAAGACCACAGGAGCUGCGGCUCAAGGGGUCAAAGGUUUUUCGCUCUAAGAUGAGUCCGCGUAAGCGUAGCUAGUUGGUGAGGGAACGGCUCACCAAGGCGACGAUCUUUACCUGGUCUGAGAGGAUGAUCAGUCACACUGGAACUGAGACACGGUCCAGACUCCUACGGGAGGCAGCAGUAGGGAAUAUUGCACAAUGGAGGAAACUCUGAUGCAGCGACGCCGCGUGAGUGAUGAAGGCCUUCGGGUCGUAAAGCUCUGUCGCAGGGGAAUAACACAAUGAAUGAACCCUGUAAGAAAGGAUCGGCUAACUUCGUGCCAGCAGCCGCCGUAACAC